rnacentral:rRNA from 1 species
GGACGAACGCUGGCGGCGUGCCUAAUCCAUGCAAGUUGAGCGAUGAAGAUUGGUGCUUGCACCAAUUUGAAGAGCAGCGAACGGGUGAGUAACGCGUGGGGAAUCUGCCUUUGAGCGGGGGACAACAUUUGGAAACGAAUGCUAAUACCGCAUAACAACUUUAAACAUAAGUUUUAAGUUUGAAAGAUGCAAUUGCAUCACUCAAAGAUGAUCCCGCGUUGUAUUAGCUAGUUGGUGAGGUAAAGGCUCACCAAGGCGAUGAUGCAUAGCCGACCUGAGAGGGUGAUCGGCCACAUUGGGACUGAGACACGGCCCAAACUCCUACGGGAGGCAGCAGUAGGGAAUCUUCGGCAAUGGACGAAAGUCUGACCGAGCAACGCCGCGUGAGUGAAGAAGGUUUUCGGAUCGUAAAACUCUGUUGGUAGAGAAGAACGUUGGUGAGAGUGGAAAGCUCAUCAAGUGACGGUAACUACCCAGAAAGGGACGGCUAACUACGUG